GACGAACGCUGGCGGCGUGCUUAACACAUGCAAGUCGAGCGGUAAGGCCCUUUCGGGGGUACACGAGCGGCGAACGGGUGAGUAACACGUGGGUGACCUGCCCUCAGCUCUGGGAUAAGCCUGGGAAACCGGGUCUAAUACUGGAUAUGACUCCAUGACGCAUGUUGUGGGGUGGAAAGCCUUGUGCGGCUGAGGAUGGGCCCGCGGCCUAUCAGCUUGUUGGUGGGGUGANGGCCUACCAAGGCGACGACGGGUAGCCGGCCUGAGAGGGCGACCGGCCACACUGGGACUGAGACACGGCCCAGACUCCUACGGGAGGCAGCAGUGGGAAAUCUUGCGCAAUGGGCGAAAGCCUGACGCAGCGACGCCGCGUGAGGGAUGACGGCCUGGUUGUAACGU
rnacentral:rRNA from 1 species